UUGCUUGCUUUGGCAACACAUAUACUAAAACUGGAAUACAGAGAAGAUUAGCAUGGCCCCUGCGCAGGAUGACAUGCAGAUUCGUGAUGCAUUCCACUUUUUU
ensembl:snRNA U6 U6 spliceosomal RNA